ACCCCUACGGGGGGCAGCAGUAGGGAAUAUUGGACAAUGGGUGAGAGCCUGAUCCAGCCAUGCCGCGUGCAGGAAGAAGGCGUUAUGCGUUGUAAACUGCUUUUGCCAGGGGAUAAAAAAGGCGUGCGCGCUUAAUUGAAGGUACCUGGUGAAUAAGCCACGGCUAACUACGUGCCAGCAGCCGCGGUAAUACGUAGGUGGCAAGCGUUGUCCGGAUUUAUUGGGUUUAAAGGGUGCGUAGGUGGCCCUGUAAGUCAGUGGUGAAAUAUCUCAGCUUAACUGAGAGGGUGCCAUUGAUACUGCAGGGCUUGAGUACAGAUGAGGUAGGCGGAAUUGACGGUGUAGCGGUGAAAUGCAUAGAUAUCGUCAAGAACACCGAUAGCGAAGGCAGCUUACCAAGCUGUAACUGACACUGAGGCACGAAAGUGUGGGGAUCAAACAGGAUUAGAUACCCUGGUAGUCCC
rnacentral:rRNA from 1 species